UGUGAGGAUAAUGCAUGUAUACAGUAAUU
rnacentral:piRNA from 1 species